ensembl:lncRNA
UUUUAAUUGAGUGAUAUCUACAGUCUGGUAAAUUCAAAGUGACUUGAAAUAUCCAAACUAAGAUUAGAUUAACUGUCAAGGACAAACAUAUGCAAGAGAUGCUUUUUUUUUUUUUAAUAUGACAUGAUGGUGUGUUAGCAAAGUAUUGAUAAUGAUUCUGAGUGCUUCAUAUCAUUUUAUCUAAACCCUGGUACCUUUGCACGUUUCUGAUACUAAACCCAGGUAGGUAAACCCGAAGAUCAGUGUUUCACAAAUGAGCAUUUGUCACUUCAGUUUCAUGUCUUGACUAGCAUAAAAAUCUGAAAAGCUGUUCUUCAGAUUUGUCUUUGAAUACUGAAUGUACAGCACUAUAGUUAGAAAAUGUGUGUGAUUCUUCCUGAGCUUCAUUUCUUGAGCAUGAUUGUCAGAAUGUGCAUAACAACUGACAAACCAGUUAAAGGUAACAUCUGUGACUGAGUAAUCCUAAAUAAUUAUGCUGAGCCUCUAGCACGUGUCUUUAUGCUUCAAGAUAAACCCUUUUGAAAUGCCAUCUCAGAAUAUCAGUGUGAAAAAUGACACAAAUUUUGUCUUGUUUGUUGUUUUUCUGCUGUUGUUGCCAUCAUCUUCCAGUUCCUUUCUGCAGAUCUUCAUAUAUACUUGUGGUGUCUAGGGAGGCUUUCUAGAAAGCUUUAGUUUUGUAACAGCUUUCUGCACCUCUUCAGAAAUGAACAGUUUGGAAAUAACCACAGUGAUGCAGCUUACAGGUUCUCGUGCCCUCUCAUUGACAGGGCAGUACAAGAAGCUGAGAAACUGAGAUGUUCUUGCCUCUGCAGCGCUGCUCAGCAACAACUAAAACAUCCAUGUGUUAUCAGCAGUGUUUUUCUCCUGAAGUCAAAGCAUAACAUCGUGGCAGACACUACUGAAGAAAAUCAUCUCUGUCCCAGGAAUGAAAUGAGGACAGAGUUAAUAGAGUCAAGUAGGGAAUGCACAAAUGUGUUUGCUCUGCUCAGCAACGUGGAAACUGGUGUGAUACAAAAAAGGAAUUUUGGCUUAUUGCAGAGAGAUUAAUUACUAUGGGAAUUGCGGACUAUGUGUCUGAGUUGAAAAUUCUGAUUAAAAACAAUGAGCAAAGAGGAAAAGCUGAAGUAAAUAGAAAACUCUGGAGUAGAGGAAGUAUAUAACUUCUCUCUCCUGUGCUUGUCAACACAGUACGUACAAGUGAUGCUUUUGCAACUAAUUUCUUAGAUGGCAACUUCAGAAGCAAGGUGGCAUCGUAUAAGCGGGGAAUGUAGGAGCUGGAGUUGUAUGAAAUGAAAAACAAUUUUACCCUGGAAACAAGUGUAUAGAUCACUUCUCAAUAUAAAAAUAGUUUAUUAUUUCUGGACAGAAGCUGAUGAUUCUUCUACAGUAGCAUCCAGGUAAAAGAAAAAAAUCAGUUUUGCAUCUCUGAUUGCUUUAGACAGUUCGUGACCAAUCUAUCCUAGAACAUGAAAAUAUUUUAAUAUCGUGUAAACUGAAAUGGAAAUCCAGCCAGAAAAAUACUGCAUGAAGAAAUAGGGCAAUGUCUGCACUUCUAACUUGAAACUGAAAUCUAUUUUCUCUAAUAGAAAUGGAAGUUCUCAAGGUGCUUUAAUUAGAAAGGGAGGAAUGGGUGAGGUUGCAGUUUUUAUCUUUAGCCAGAGGAGUAAUCUAUUUGGCAGUAUUUGUUACAAAGAAUUCUGUUUCUUCCCAUUCUGUAAGGUGUGGAGGGAGAAACCUUCCAUGUGCCAAGCAAUAAUGGAAGAUGUCUAACAGGGUU